GCCAAUCUAGUAAUUAUGUAUAUUUUUGGGUUCAGAACAAGUCCCCCACGACAUGGGAAGGAGGAGGCAUAUUCAACAGGAAUAGUUUCCUUUUUCCCCUAUCUGGCUGACCGCAAAAGCAAGACAGACUGCCCACCAUUAUAAUGCAGAAGACUGGAGUGGCUACUUGGUAUGGCGACUGAAGCACCUGCAAAAGGAGGCUGCAGAGUGAAGAAUACAUUCACUAGCGGGUGGACCAGCUGUAGACAGAGACCCCUUCACGGACGAAGACUGCUGAGUGAAGAAGGGCAGUGCUGAGAGCCAUCGCACUGAUGAAACACACGUCUGAUGAAGCAACCGCAGGGACCAGCAUCCUCUAAUGCCAUCACCGGAAGUCAACAGUCCUAUCUGUUUGCCAUGGGGACCCAGAGAACGAGCAUUCACGCCUACUUCCUUGUGAUUGACAAACAUGCGGUACCUUGUAAGGCAUCUGGCUCACUGGGCUGUUUUAAUGAGCUUUUGAAAGCUUGUGUCUGUCUUUACAGGAAUCUGGAAACAAUAAAUGUUGGGUGUAAAAUAGAUCAGUGUUUUGGGCAAAUUGAAAAUCCUUUCAGUGGACUGAAACCAAAAGGUUGAAAUAUUUCUCAGAGAAGUGGGGAACUGUAGAUCCAGUUGAACAUGUUAUUGGCACAAGAUUUGACAUGUGACACAAUAGAACCACUGAAACAUAUAGUAUGAC
rnacentral:lncRNA from 1 species